GGAGAGGGCUAGCGUUAUUCGGAAUUAUUGGGCGUAAAGGGCGCGUAGGCGGAUUAGUAAGUUAAAAGUGAAAUCCCAAGGCUCAACCUUGGAAUUGCUUUUAAAACUGCUAAUCUAGAGAUUGAAAGAGGAUAGAGGAAUUCCUAGUGUAGAGGUAAAAUUCGUAAAUAUUAGGAGGAACACCAGUGGCGAAGGCGUCUAUCUGGUUCAAAUCUGACGCUGGGGCGCGAAGGCGUGGGGAGCAAACAGGAUUAGAUACCCUGGUAGUCCACGCUGUAAACGAUGAAUGUUAAAUAUGGGGAGUUUACUUUCUGUAUUACAGCUAACGCGUUAAACAUUCCGCCUGGGGACUACGGUCGCAAGAUUAAAACUCAAAGGAAUUGACGGGGACCCGCACAAGCGGUGGAGCAUGUGGUUUAAUUCGAUACAACGCGAAAAACCUUACCACUCCUUGACAUGGAAAUUAUACCUAUUCGAAGGGAUAGGGUCGGUUCGGCCGGGUUUCACACAGGUGU
rnacentral:rRNA from 1 species